AGUGAACGCUGGCGGUAGGCCUAACACAUGCAAGUCGAACGGCAGCACAGAGGAGCUUGCUCCUUGGGUGGCGAGUGGCGGACGGGUGAGGAAUACAUCGGAAUCUACUCUGUCGUGGGGGAUAACGUAGGGAAGCUUACGCUAAUACCGCAUACGACCUACGGGUGAAAGCAGGGGAUCUUCGGACCUUGCGCGAUUGAAUGAGCCGAUGUCGGAUUAGCUAGUUGGCGGGGUAAAGGCCCCCCAAGGCGACGAUCCGUAGCUGGUCUGAGAGGAUGAUCAGCCAUACUGGAACUGAGACACGGUCCAGACUCCUACGGGAGGCAGCAGUGGGGAAUAUUGGACAAUGGGCGCAAGCCUGAUACAGCCAUACCGCGUGGGUGAAGAAGGCCUUCGGGUUGUAAAGCCCUUUUGUUGGGAAAGAAAUCCAUCUGGUUAAUACCCGGGUGGGAUGACGGUACCCAAAGAAUAAGCACCGGCUAACUUCGUGCCAGCCGCCGCAGUAA
rnacentral:rRNA from 1 species